GCUUAACACAUGCAAGUCGAACGAUGAAGAGCAGCUUGCUGCUUGGAUUAGUGGCGCACGGGUGAGUAAUAUAUAGGUAAUGUGCCUCUUAGUCUGGGAUAGCCAUUGGAAACGAUGAUUAAUACUGGAUACUCCUUCUAACUCUAAUGUUAGUCGGGAAAGUUUUUCGCUAAGAGAUCAGCCUAUAUCCCAUCAGUUAGUUGGUAAGGUAACGGCUUACCAAGGCAAUGACGGGUAGCGGGUUUGAGAGGAUGAUCCGCCACACUGGUACUGAGACACGGACCAGACUCCUACGGGAGGCAGCAGUGAGGAAUAUUGCACAAUGGGGGAAACCCUGAUGCAGCAACGCCGCGUGGAGGAUGACGCAUUUCGGUGUGUAAACUCCUUUUAUAUGUCAAGAAAAUGACGGUAGCAUAUGAAUAAGCACCGGCUAACUCCGUGCCAGCAGCCGCGGUAAUACGGAGGGUGCAAGCGUUACUCGGAAUCACUGGGCGUAAAGGACGCGUAGGCGGAUUGGAAAGUCAGAUGUGAAAUCCUACAGCUUAACUGUAGAACUGCAUUUGAAACUUCUAAUCUAGAGUAUGGGAGGGGGAGAUGGAAUUAGUGGUGUAGGGGUAAAAUCCGUAGAUAUCACUAGGAAUACCGAAAGCGAAGGCGAUCUCCUGGAACAUUACUGACGCUAAGGCGUGAAAGCGUGGGGAGCAAACAGGAUUAGAUACCCUGGUAGUCCACGCCCUAAACGAUGAACACUAGUCGUCGGGAUGCUUGUCAUCUCGGUGAUGCACUUAAUAGAUUAAGUGUUCCGCCUGGGGAGUACGG
rnacentral:rRNA from 1 species